rnacentral:rRNA from 1 species
UGGGGAAUAUUGCACAAUGGGCGCAAGCCUGAUGCAGCCAUGCCGCGUGUAUGAAGAAGGCCUUCGGGUUGUAAAGUACUUUCAGCGGGGAGGAAGGGAGUAAAGUUAUUACCUUUGCUCUUUGCGGUUACCCGCAGAAAAAGCACCGGCUAACUCCGUUCCAGCAGCCGCGGUAAUACGGAGGGUGCAAGCGUUAAUCGGAAUUACUGGGCGUAAAGCGCACGCAGGCGGUUUGUUAAGUCAGAUGUGAAAUCCCCGGGCUCAACCUGGGAACUGCAUCUGAUACUGGCAAGCUUGAGUCUCGUAGAGGGGGGUAGAAUUCCAGGUGUAGCGGUGAAAUGCGUAGAGAUCUGGAGGAAUACCGGUGGCGAAGGCGGCCCCCUGGACGAAGACUGACGCUCAGGUGCGAAAGCGUGGGGAGCAAACAGG